rnacentral:rRNA from 1 species
UGGGGAAUAUUGCACAAUGGGCGCAAGCCUGAUGCAGCCAUGCCGCGUGUGUGAAGAAGGCCUUCGGGUUGUAAAGCACUUUCAGCGGGGAGGAAGGCGAUAAGGUUAAUAACCUUGGCAAUUGACGUUACCCGCAGAAGAAGCACCGGCUAACUCCGUGCCAGCAGCCGCGGUAAUACGGAGGGUGCAAGCGUUAAUCGGAAUUACUGGGCGUAAAGCGCACGCAGGCGGUCUGUCAAGUCGGAUGUGAAAUCCCCGGGCUCAACCUGGGAACUGCAUUCGAAACUGGCAGGCUAGAGUCUUGUAGAGGGGGGUAGAAUUCCAGGUGUAGCGAUGAAAUGCGUAGAGAUCUGGAGGAAUACCGGUGGCGAAGGCGGCCCCCUGGACGAAGACUGACGCUCAGGUGCGAAAGCGUGGGGAGCAAACAGG